AUGUUUCUGAUAGACUUAGGUCAAACAGCAAUAAUCCUCCUUUACGUUCCUACAGAAUCCAUUUCUCCACCGUCUCAGAUACCUGAACUACAGACUACUCUUGCUGGCAACGUCAGAUUAAAGUGUAAUUAUGAUGUGCAUUGUCGCAAAACGUUACACUGGUAUCGGCAGCUUCCAGGACAGCCACUCAUACAUCUGCUCCAGAGACAAACUUAUGGAGAACAAGAUGAAAUAAAAAUCGCCGGUGAACGAAUUACUGCUGUUCUAGAUCCUAAUAAGAAAAUCAGCCAGCUGACGAUCACAAAAGUGCAACUGAGCGACGCUGCAGUGUUUUACUGCGCAAUUAGUACGUUCCCAGCACUGUGA